rnacentral:lncRNA from 1 species
AUUCAAAUAUAAUCUUUCUUCAAGAAACUCACUCAGAAGCUGUGGAUGUUCCGUUUUGGCGUAAUCAUGGCAUGAUGAUAUUUUUUUUAGUCACGGCACAAAUCAUUCCGGAGGAGUUGCUAUUUGUUUGCAGAAAUGUCCCGGUAAGAUAAUUUUUCACAAAGCUGAUGAUGAUGGACAUUGGUUAGUAAUUGUUCUUAAUUUAGAUAAACACUUCCUUAUUUUGAUAAAUGUGUACGGGUAUAACAACCGCAGCCAAAAUAAUGAUUUACUCUGCUUAAUUACUGAUAUUAUUAGUGAAUUAAAAAUCACCUAUCCCACAGAAUUUAUUUUGAUUGGAGGGGAUUUUAAUUUAACGCCAGACUUAUGGCUAGAUAGGGAGCCCUCUAAGCACAAGUUAGCUCAUGUUAAUAACAUAAUUAAACAUUUUUGUGUUCAAAAUAAUUUAAUUGAUAUCUGGAGAAAGCGGAAUCCUGGAAUUAAACAGUUUACUUGGGUCAAACCGAACGCAGAGGCUAGAACAAGAAUUGAUUACUGGCUCGGCACGGACACUGUUUUUAAAUACGUGUAUAAUUGUUCUAUCUCUAGUGCACCGUUAACCGAUCACUGUGUAAUUAAGCUAAAUU